GAAAUGCGAUAUGUAAUGCGAAUUGCAGAAUUCAGUGAAUCAUCAAAUCUUCGAACGCAGACUGCGCUCUCGGGUAAUCCUGGGAGCACGCCUCUUUCAGGGUCGACAAAACACAAUCCAGAACGAUCUAUAUAUAGAAUUCAUUCUGGGAUAUUGAGUUGUCUCAGUAACACAUUUACUGAGUCACUUGAAACAUUGUGACAUCGUUAGAUAUCGUGGAGAGAUCAAAUUCCAAAGUCUCGACGGUUGUUACGUUCACCCUUCGUGGUGAAUUUUAUACCCGUCGAAGACUUUCUGGUCUUUAUUCCCUUUCUAACGUUUUUAUGGAAUUAACUUUCCUUUUACUUUAGACCUGAGAUGAAGCGAGACUACCCGCUGAAUUUAA
rnacentral:misc_RNA from 1 species